UACGUAGGGGGCAAGCGUUGUCCGGAUUUAUUGGGCGUAAAGAGCGUGUAGGCGGCCAGAUAGGUCAGCUGUGAAAACUCGAGGCUCAACCUCGAGAUGUCGGCUGAAACCAUCUGGCUAGAGUCCGGAAGAGGAGAAUGGAAUUCCCGGUGUAGCGGUGAAAUGCGCAGAUAUCGGGAAGAACACCCGUGGCGAAGGCGGUUCUCUGGGCCUUACCUGACGCUGAGGAGCGAAAGCGUGGGGAGCGAACAGG
rnacentral:rRNA from 1 species